rnacentral:Y_RNA from 1 species
GCUUAUUCCAGUGCAGUGAGUGUUAACAACUAAUUGAUCAGAACCAUUUACAGAUUACUUUGUUACUUCUCCACUCCCACCACUUCACUUGACUAAACUUAA